rnacentral:rRNA from 1 species
GGCCGCGUGGGUGAAGCCGGUUUUUAGAUCGUGCAACUCUGUUCUUAGAUAAGAGCGUUGGUGAAAGUGGAAAUCUCAUCAAGCCACGGUAACUGCCCGGAAAUAGACGGCUGACUACGUGCAAGCACCCGCAAUAAUACGUAGGUCCCAAGCGUUGUCCGGAUUUACUGGGCGUAAAGCGAGCGCCGGUGGUUUGCUAAGCCU